CACACAAUGUCUGCAGACCGAUCACUCUUUUCACAGUCAGUAUAUAAUUUUCAAUUCUUUAAAUCUGAAUGUGCUUAAGUAUCUAGAAGAAUAGGAUCUCCAUUCCCCAGUUCUCAAAAAAAACAAAAAAACAAACAAACUGUAAUUAAGUUGCUUUCUAAACCAAGUUUAUUGGGUACAAACACUGCCAGUCUGUUUGACUAAAUUAAUUAACUUUUUAAAAAGCAAAUACAUUUCCAGUACAAACAGCUCUCUCAUAACCUGCUCAUCAAGAAGACUGUAAAAGACAACGGAUCACCCAUUCACACUUGAAAAAGAUUCCACCUGUGACAUAGGAAAGGGCUUUAUAAUGCAAUACAGAUAUGAUACAAUAGAGAUGUUGCAUUAUCUUCCUAAAGAGAUCGCUUUAUUGAACUUGGCACAAUAUUUUAAGCAAUUGGAUUUAAAAAAAAAUAUUUUUUAGGAAAAAACUGAAUUGCAAAAGAUAUAACCGUGUAUAUUGAGUAAAAAAAACAACCAACUUGUUGAUCCACACUCCCCUCCCCCCCUUGCAGCAAAAUUGAUAGUUGAUCGUAUUGAAGGUGAAAACUUAAAUAGAAGGAAAGCAGAAAUAGAUGUGUGAAAGGCUAUACCUGAUGAUCUAGAACAGGCAUAGGCAACCAAGAUGUUUUGGACUACACCUCCCAUGAUGCUUUGCCAGCAUUAUGGGUGUAAGAGCAUUAUAGGGGAUGUAGUCCACAUCUGGAGUGCCAAAAGUUGCCUUGUUUUUGGAUACUUCAGUCCUAGUAAUUCAUGGCAUCUUCAAAAGUCACAGAAAGGUCUGGUGUGGAGUAUAAUGCCACAGAAGGCAAAGGAACCGCAAUAACAGUUUGACAAGUAUAAACAGCUACCAGCAUUAACAUACAGAGGGCAUCUCUAAUACAGAUUGUGUUUAUUAACACAUUUAGGACGUUCUUAGAUUAAUAUGCAGAUGGUCUUCAGUUACACCUGCGGUGUGACCGGAGCCUUUAAUGAAAGCAGGCACAUGUGUAUUAAAGGACCACUCUAGGCACCCAGACCACUUCAGCUUAAUGAAGUGGUCUGGGUGCCUGGUCCAGCUAGGGUUAACCCAUUUUU